CCUACGUGAGGCAGCCGUGAGGAAUCUUGGUCAAUGGACGAGAGUCUGAACCAGCCAAGUAGCGUGAAGGAUGACUGCCCUAUGGGUUUUAAACUUCUUUUAUAAAUGAAUAAAACGAGGCACGUGUGCCUUUUUGCAUGUACUUUAUGAAUAAGGAUCGGCUAACUCCGUGCCAGCAGCCGCGGUAAUACGGAGGAUCCGAGCGUUAUCCGGAUUUCUUGGGUUUAAAGGGAGCGUAGAUGGGUUGUUAAGUAAGUUGUGAAAGUUUGCGGCUCAACCGUAAAAUUGCAAUUGAUACUGGCAGUCUUGAGUACAGUUGAGGUAGGCGGAAUUCGUGGUGUAGCGGUGAAAUGCUUAGAUAUCACGAAGAACCCCGAUUGCGAAGGCAGCUUACUAAACUGUGACUGACAUUGAUGCUCGAAAGUGUGGGGAUCAAACAGGAUUAGAUACCCCUGUAGUC
rnacentral:rRNA from 1 species